CAGUCGCCGCGGGAAUACGGAGGGUGCAAGCGUUAAUCGGAAUUACUGGGCGUAAAGCGCACGCAGGCGGUCUGACAAGUCAGAUGUGAAAUCCCCGGGCUUAACCUGGGAACUGCAUUUGAAACUGGCAAGCUAGAGUCUCGUAGAGGGGGGUAGAAUUCCAGGUGUAGCGGUGAAAUGCGUAGAGAUCUGGAGGAAUACCGGUGGCGAAGGCGGCCCCCUGGACGAAGACUGACGCUCAGGUGCGAAAGCGUGGGGAGCAAACAGGAUUAGAUACCCCUGUAGUCCCUGUCUCUUAUAC
rnacentral:rRNA from 1 species